AGAGCGAACGCUGGCGGCAGGCCUAACACAUGCAAGUCGAGCGCCCGUAGCAAUACGGGAGCGGCAGACGGGAGAGUAACACGUGGGAACGUACCCUUCAGUUCGGAAUAACCCAGGGAAACUUGGACUAAUACCGAAUACGUCCGUAAGGAGAAAGAUUUAUCGCUGAAGGAUCGGCCCGCGUCUGAUUAGCUUGUUGGUGAGGUAACGGCUCACCAAGGCGACGAUCAGUAGCUGGUCUGAGAGGAUGAUCAGCCUCACUGGGACUGAGACACGGCCCAGACUCCUACGGGAGGCAGCAGUGGGGAAUAUUGGACAAUGGGCGCAAGCCUGAUCCAGCCAUGCCGCGUGGAUGAUGAAGGCCCUAGGGUUGUAAAGUCCUUUCGGCGGGGAAGAUAAUGACGGUACCCGCAGAAGAAGCCCCGGCUAACUUCGUGCCAGCAGCCGC
rnacentral:rRNA from 1 species